CUCCUUCGGCGGGGCGCGGAGCUGAGGGCGGGCGAUGCUCGGGGCUCCGCGGAGCUCCGCGGCCGCCGGGCAGCGCCAUGAACCUGGGCGAUGGACUGAAGCUCGAAACUGAAGUGCUGGAUGGAAAGCCUAGGCUAAUUUUAGCUUCUUCUGAUAAAUCAAAGCCUGCCAUGAAGAUGGGUAAUAAAGCCAGAGCCCCUAAACAGGCAUUGAGAAUAAAGCACACUGGACUCAUCUUGAGGCCAACACAAAAUGCUUGUAUCAAGCAGGAAAAUGGAACAAAACCAAGGAGUGAAUCAAGCUUGUCAAUGACAAAAGGUGAAAAACUGCAAGUUAAUAAACACUCCUCACAUGAAGCCACAACUAAAGGUUACUCUUUGAUUUUCCAAAGAGAUAAAACAAGCAGAUAUCCUGAUUCUGAGGAUCCUAGCAUCGUGAAAAAAACUAAACACAAACCUCAAGCCCCACAUGUAUCAGCUGAAGACUUAAAAAGUUUGGUGUGUUUAACACAAACACAGCUUCAACAGAUUUUGAUGAUUGUUAAAGAAGGAAGAAGCAUCUCUGAGACUCAGAAUGAAAAGCAAGAGGAAAUGGCUACUAAUGAGGCAUCAGAGGAAAAUGUUAUAGCAUCACUCCAAAAUGAUUGUGAAGUGUCCCCAGUUCCAGAUGAAGCAAACUCUGAUUCAGGCAGGAAACAAGAAGCACAUCCACAGCCAGGACAGAAUGUUAUAAAGGAUUCAUGGAAACCUGCUGACUUGUUUAGUACCUUGGGUGAAAGAGAAAGGGAGAAAGCCUUACUGGAAUUUAAAAAGACCCAAUGGAAGAAGGAAUUAGAUGAACAGGUAGCACUGAAGAAGAAGCUGAAAGAAACUUUGGAGGGAGAGGUGGGUUAUUUCUGGGCAAAACUUGGCAGUAAGAAAACCCCUAAAGCGGAAACACCUGACCCAGAGCAGACAGUGCUUCCAGCUGACUCAGGUCAUGGCACUGAGGAGAACUCUGCCUGUACAGCUCCUUUAGCCACAGAGGCUGAUGGAGUUGCACUGAAUGUUCCAAGAGCUCCAGCUGGGCAGUCUUCUGAUUUCAGUCCUUCUGACUUUCCAGCUGGCAGUUGCACAGCAUUGGCUUUCAGGGAAGCUGUGCUACAGGAGCGACCUUUUAGUGCUCUGAAACAUGAGCAACAGAAGAAGUGGCUUGAAGAGUUGGACAAGCAGAAGGAAGAAGCCAAACUACGAAAAUUAGAAGAAAAACGUAAUUUAUCAAAGGCAGAAGAGCAUGACAGAUGGGAAAUGCAUUUUGAUUCUUUUAAGAAGCACUUUAAUGCUAAUGCACAAUACUGCUUAAAUGGAAUGCACAGAAAGCCUGAAAGUCUUUCCUUGUCACCUGACCCCAAGGACCCGACUGCUUUCAUUUCCCCUUUGUCCCCUGCAGCUUUAGGCAACCUCAUGCCCUUGCAGAUAGGAACUGCAGAAAAAGCUGCUAAAAAUGGUGCUUUGGAACAAAGUCAGAGAGUCAGUUUCCUGCGUUCCAUGACGGCUCUGCUGGACCCUGCACAGAUCGAGGAGAGGGACAGGAGGCGGCAGAAGCAGUUGGAACAUCAGAAAGCAAUAAUGGCUCAGGUGGAAGAAAAACGGAAGCAGAAACAACUGGAGGAAGAGCAGAGAAAAUGGGAAGAGCAACAGGAAGAACUGCGCCUGGCACGAGAAAAAGCACAACUGCAGAAACAGUUUGAAGAAGAAAUGCUGAAACAAAAGCAAAAGGAGGAGCUUGCAACUCUUAAAGCCAAAGAGCUUUAUCAGACAAUGGAGAAAGCUCAGGAAUUAGCCCAGGGAUCAAAACAAGACCAGCACAUUCCAGACUUGGCUCAGAGGGCACAUGAUAUUUCAGAACUUCAGAACAGUCUUGGUGGUGCACAAAGUGCUGCUUUCCCUGCAGGUGUGGAGGGCCCCCCCGGGCAGCAGGCCUCCCCUCGGAAGGACACGGCGGUGCAGACAGAUUGCUUUAAUACUUCAGCAUACACAGGGUCAGCUGAGGAAAGAACUGCAUAUUGUGAAUCACCUGAUAUUUCCAUAGAAUAUAAAGAAAUCUCUAACAGCAAAAAAUACCAGAAGGAAAUGCAGCAUAUGGAUAAAAAUAAACUUCCAGGAAAAGGGACUGGUGGUAUUUACAGUGACCUAUAUGAACAAUAUGCAAGAAAAGAAAGACACAUUAAAUCUUCGGAAAAACACAGCAAAAGACCUGACUGGAACAUAAACAAGCCUGGGAAAAGAUACAUUCCAGCCUCAGAAAGGUACCCUGAGCCCCUGCAGAAACAGAGGGAGGAGAACAAGGUGCGCCGGCAGCUGGAGCUGCUGCAGCUGGUGGAAAGGAACAGCCCUGGGCAGCUGAGUGCAAGGAGAGGGGGGCACUCAGCCAGGUCCCUCUCACCUCGGGAGGAAACAGCUGUGGGGAGAAAGGGCCACAGAGGCAGAAAGGAAGAAAAAUUUCAUAAGAAUCACUUGAAUGAAGAAAGAUCUGAAUCACCACCCGUCCCAGCAGUUAGGAACAGAUUACUCCAAGCACAAGGACAGAUCCAAGCUUCUCCUUUCCCGCUGCACGGCCAGCUCUGUGGAAGAGAGAAGGAUGCCCGGGCGGGCUCGCAGCCGAGGAGCGGCCCCGCUGCUCCUCCCCCGGCGCCGCAGUUCGUGCCCUUCGUGCGCACCCGCGAGGUUUUCUGCCUCCCCGCCGGGGCAGCGCCCGGCCACCCGCACGAUUCUUACCAAAUGCCACGGCAGAUUUUUAGCUCAGAUCAUGUUAGAGAUCCUCUUCUAAAUCCUGAUGCAGUUACAAUCAGAGAGAGACAACAAGAAAUUCUCAAAGGAUUGUCAAAAUUACGACAGGUCACAGCAGGUAUAGGAACUAGCAACAGACUCUUUCCUCACUCAAUCAAAAGUCAGUGGAUAAACCGAGCAAAGUGAAUUAUUUGUGACAGAGAAGGGACAAAGAUUAAGAAAGAGGACUCACCCCCAGGGCCUCCUGCAGAAGCAGAAGGAGUUGGAGAACACUUUGAUUCCCACUGUAGCUCAAGAGAACUUCAUGCCACCGUUCUGAGAGGUGCAUAUGAAUGUUCUGAAUCCUUAAUAUGGAAAUGCACAGCACUUUGCUACUGUAAUUAAUUACAAACCACCUCUAGCUUUUUUAUGAAAAUUAAAUUAUGAGAAUUUUGAUAGACUACAAGGUCAUUACAUUUUAUAUUGAAGAUAUUUAAACUCAUGAUGGUUUUUCUGCUUAGAAUGGUUUUCAUGCUACUUGAAGACAAGUGUCAAUUUAAUAUAAACCACCAAAAACAUGGAAGUAAACUGUUAUAUGGGUUUUUAUAGAACUCAGUGUGUGAAUUUUGAUAAAUAAAAAUAUUAAGAUGCAUUCUGAAUGGC